AUGUGAUCGUCUCUCGCAUAUCAAUAAGCGGAGGAAAAGAAACUAACAAGGAUUCCCCUAGUAACGGCGAGUGAAGCGGGAAGAGCUCAAAUUUGAAAUCUUAAAGGGUUUCCCUUUACGAACUGUAGUUUAAAGAAGUGUUUUCUGUUGAGGUUUUGGUAAAAGUUCUUUGGAAUAGGACAUCAUAGAGGGUGAGAAUCCCGUAUUUGACCUUUACUUUCAACUUUGUGAUACACUUUCAAAGAGUCGGAUUGUUUGGGAAUGCAGUCCAAAAUGGGUGGUAAAUUUCAUCUAAAGCUAAAUAUUGGCGAGAGACCGAUAGCGAACAAGUACCGUGAGGGAAAGAUGAAAAGAACUUUGAAAAGAGAGUUAAACAGUACGUGAAAUUGUCAAAAGGGAAGCGUUUGACACCAGUGUUGUUUUUCUGAAAAUCAAUUAAAGAACUGUUUAUGCUAAGUUGUUUAGACUUUAUCAGCUAACUGUUUAGUUUUGAGCCUUUCUUUAAUGCACUUUUCAGUUAACAAGUCAACAUCAAUUUCUUUUGCUGUAAAAAAGCUUGAGGAAGGUGGCUUGAGAUUCGUCUUAAGUGUUUAUAGCCUCUUGCCUAUGCAGUCGGAGAGAUUGAGGUCUGCAGCGUAGAUCCUUCGGGGCUAAAUGCAUUUGUGCUAAGUUAUAGCAUUUUAUAGACAACUUGUUGACUAUGAUUUGUCUUGUAGCUUACUCGCUUAUGUUAUUUUACCUACGCUUAGGAUGUUGAGUAGCGACAUACGCAC
rnacentral:rRNA from 1 species